rfam:Spiroplasma apis B31, complete genome.
AUAAAAAUGCUAUUCGUACCAAAGAAAGUAACUGGGAAUCCCUUAAUUUGUUACCGAGGAAUGAAAUUACAUAUUUAAGCACUUUAAGUGUGAGUUAUUGUAUUUUUAAUUUACCUCGGAACUACGUUUCGAGGUUUUAUUCUGAUUAC